rnacentral:rRNA from 1 species
UACGAAGGGGGCUAGCGUUGUUCGGAUUUACUGGGCGUAAAGCGCACGUAGGCGGCUUUCUAAGUCAGGGGUGAAAUCCUGGAGCUCAACUCCAGAACUGCCUUUGAUACUGGGGAGCUCGAGUCCGGAAGAGGUGAGUGGAACUCCGAGUGUAGAGGUGAAAUUCGUAGAUAUUCGCAAGAACACCAGUGGCGAAGGCGGCUCACUGGCCCGGUACUGACGCUGAGGUGCGAAAGCGUGGGGAGCAAACAGG